UUGAGGUAUGGAUGAAACUUCCAUAUUAUUUGCUGGUAUUACAUUCCUGUGCUACCACGCCCAGUGGAUAUUUUUCUCAAAUGAUUUUUGCUUUUCCUCUUCUAAGAGUGACAUCCUAGAAAAAUUCAGCUAGCUUUCUUUCUUAUGCUGCUUACUUUUUGUUAUUGUUGUUUUUUUUUUAUUUAUAGGCAGGUUCUCAGGUUUCUCAGGGAGGGGACAUAGUUCAGAAGGCUUAUUUUUUUUUUUUUCAAGACUGUUUCUUUGUGGCUUUUGGAGGCUGUCCUGGAACUAGCUCUUGUAGACCAGGCUGGCCUUGAACUCACAGAGAGCCGCCUGCCUCUGCCUCCUGAGUGCUGGGAUUAAAGGCAUGCGCCACCAACGCCCGGCUCAGAAGGCUUAAUUUUAUCUACACAACUGUUUAUGCAGCACAUUUUCAACAGAGUGGGAACUGUAGUGAUGGCAAAUGAAAUACCAGAAAAUGAUGAAUUUCUAGAAGAUUUUCCCACACAAGGCAUGCUCACUAACAAUCAAUAUGUACCAAGUGUAUUCAAGGCAGGCUAUAGGCACCAUGGUCAAUGCUGGGAACAAAAUACACAAAACAGAAUCUUCCUGGCAUUUGGGCAGAGACCUCAAGGAAGGAGAUAGGAGGCAUUGUGACUAGUCAGGGGAACCAAGAACAGGUCCCAGAAAAUGACAGGGGAUCAGGGGUUUGCAGAGGUGUUGAUGAGAAAAGAGCUCAGACACUCAGGUCUUGUAGAACUUGUGAACUGUGGCAGCAUCAUUUGGCUUUGCUUCCCUCAGUAGCACCUUAAAAAACAAAACAAAGCAAAAGUGUGUGUGUGUGUGUGUGUGUGUGUGUGUGUGUGUGUGUGUGUGUAAAUUUAGGGGAAUUGGCUCUCUCCUUCUUCCAUGUAGGUCCCAGGGAUCCAACUCAAGCUCGGUGUCCAAGGAGGUCAGAAGAGUGCAUUGGAUCUCCUGGAACUGGAAUUAGAGAUGGUAGUUGUGAACUACCAUGUGAGUAACUAAAACUUGGAAAUCAAAUCUGGAUCCUCUGCAAGAGCAACAGGGAGAAACUAAAAAACGCUGCCAACUCAAGCGGUGCAAUGUGUGGUUCUGGAGGACUCAGUUGCUG
rnacentral:lncRNA from 1 species